rnacentral:rRNA from 1 species
AUUGAACGCUGGCGGCAGGCUUAACACAUGCAAGUCGAGCGAGCGGCGGACGGGUGAGUAAUGUCUGGGAAACUGCCUGAUGGAGGGGGAUAACUACUGGAAACGGUAGCCAAUACCGCAUACCCUCAGUUGUGCCCAGAUGGGAUUAGCUAGUGGGUGGGGUAAUGGCUCACCGAGGCGACGAUCCCUAGCUGGUCUGAGAGGAGGACCAGCCAAACUGGAACUGAGACACGGUCCAGACUCCUACGGGAGGCAGCGGUGGGGAAUAUUGGACAAGGGCGGAAAGCCUGAUGCAGCCAUGCCGGGGGUGUGAAGAAGGCCUUCGGGUUGUAAAGCACGUUCAGCGAGGAGGCGGUACUCGCAGAAGAAGCACCGGCUAACUCCGUGCCAGCAGCCGCGGUAAUAC